GCGGCCCCGGUCGGCGAGGAAGACCGCGACCUUGCGGCGGUCGGCCGGGUCGUGCCCCCGGUAGACCACCGCGCGUUCAACCAGGCGGUCCACC
rnacentral:tRNA from 1 species